rnacentral:rRNA from 1 species
AACCUUACCUGGUCUUGACAUCCACAGAACUUUCCAGAGAUGGAUUGGUGCCUUCGGGAACUGUGAGACAGGUGCUGCAUGGCUGUCGUCAGCUCGUGUUGUGAAAUGUUGGGUUAAGUCCCGCAACGAGCGCAACCCUCAUCCUUUGUUGCCAGCGGUCCGGCCGGGAACUCAAAGGAGACUGCCAGUGAUAAACUGGAGGAAGGUGGGGAUGACGUCAAGUCAUCAUGGCCCUUACGACCAGGGCUACACACGUGCUACAAUGGCAUAUACAAAGAGAAGCGACCUCGCGAGAGCAAGCGGACCUCAUAAAGUAUGUCGUAGUCCGGAUUGGAGUCUGCAACUCGACUCCAUGAAGUCGGAAUCGCUAGUAAUCGUAGAUCAGAAUGCUACGGUGAAUACGUUCCCGGGUCUUGUACACACC